rnacentral:rRNA from 1 species
AGGCGACCCCAGGUCAAGCGGGGCUACCCGCUGAGUU